rnacentral:rRNA from 1 species
GAUGAACGCUGGCGGCGUGCCUAAUACAUGCAAGUCGAGCGAAUGGAUUAAGGGCUUGCUCUUAUGAAGUUAGCGGCGGACGGGUGAGUAACACGUGGGUAACCUGCCCAUAAGACUGGGAUAACUCCGGGAAACCGGGGCUAAUACCGGAUAACAUUUUGAACCGCAUGGUUCGAAAUUGAAUGGCGGCUUCGGCUGUCACUUAUGGAUGGACCCGCGUCGCAUUAGCUAGUUGGUGAGGUAACGGCUCACCAAGGCAACGAUGCGUAGCCGACCUGAGAGGGUGAUCGGCCACACUGGGCCUGAGACACGGCCCAGACUCCUACGGGAGGCAGCAGUAGGGAAUCUUCCGCAAUGGACGAAAGUCUGACGGAGCAACGCCGCGUGAGUGAUGAAGGCUUUCGGGUCGUAAAACUCUGUUGUUAGGGAAGAACAAGUGCUAGUUGAAUAAGCUGGCACCUUGACGGUACCUAACCAGAAAGCCACGGCUAACUACGUGCCAGCAGCCGCAGUAA